GAUGAACGCUGGCGGCGUGCUUAACACAUGCAAGUCGAACGAAGCACUUUAUUUGAUUUCCUUCGGGAAUGAUUAUUUUGUGACUGAGUGGCGGACGGGUGAGUAACGCGUGGGUAACCUGCCUUGUACAGGGGGAUAACAGUUGGAAACGGCUGCUAAUACCGCAUAAGCGCACGGCAUCGCAUGAUGCAGUGUGAAAAACUCCGGUGGUAUAAGAUGGACCCGCGUUGGAUUAGCUAGUUGGUGAGGUAACGGCCCACCAAGGCGACGAUCCAUAGCCGACCUGAGAGGGUGACCGGCCACAUUGGGACUGAGACACGGCCCAAACUCCUACGGGAGGCAGCAGUGGGGAAUAUUGCACAAUGGGCGAAAGCCUGAUGCAGCGACGCCGCGUGAGCGAAGAAGUAGUUCGGUAUGUAAAGCUCUAUCAGCAGGGAAGAUAAUGACGGUACCUGACUAAGAAGCACCGGCUAAAUACGUG
rnacentral:rRNA from 1 species